AUGGCCUACGUCGAGAGAGGUGUUGUGAAAGGCAAACGGACAAUCUGGAGACUAAGCAUAAUCCCCGACUUCUUUAAGGCUAUUGUGAACUUCAUCAGAAUGUUCUUCCUCACAAUGUUUUCUAUCGAGAAAACAGACAGCUAUAAGAAAGGAUAUGGUAGUGGUAAGAAGUGGGAUGGUGGACCUGGUGGGGGAGGUCCUGGUGGGGGUCCAUAUGGUGGUGGGGGCGGCGGUGGAGGUGGCCCUCGCGGUCCUCGCACACUAUCUGACCUCCGAUCAAACGAUCAGAGUUCCCUCCCUGCUUGUGGAUCCUGCUGCGGAUGA
rnacentral:rRNA from 1 species